GAGAGGAUGAUCAGCCACACUGGAACUGAGACACGGUCCAGACUCCUACGGGAGGCAGCAGUGGGGAAUAUUGCACAAUGGGCGCAAGCCUGAUGCAGCCAUGCCGCGUGUGUGAAGAAGGCCUUCGGGUUGUAAAGCACUUUCAGUCGUGAGGAAGGUAGUGUAGUUAAUAGCUGCAUUAUUUGACGUUAGCGACAGAAGAAGCACCGGCUAACUCCGUGCCAGCAGCCGCGGUAAUACGGAGGGUGCGAGCGUUAAUCGGAAUUACUGGGCGUAAAGCGCAUGCAGGUGGUUUGUUAAGUCAGAUGUGAAAGCCCGGGGCUCAACCUCGGAAUAGCAUUUGAAACUGGCAGACUAGAGUACUGUAGAGGGGGGUAGAAUUUCAGGUGUAGCGGUGAAAUGCGUAGAGAUCUGAAGGAAUACCGGUGGCGAAGGCGGCCCCCUGGACAGAUACUGACACUCAGAUGCGAAAGCGUGGGG
rnacentral:rRNA from 2 species